UGGGGAAUAUUGCACAAUGGGCGAAAGCCUGAUGCAGCGACGCCGCGUGAAGGAUGAAGUAUUUCGGUAUGUAAACUUCUAUCAGCAGGGAAGAAAAUGACGGUACCUGACUAAGAAGCCCCGGCUAACUACGUGCCAGCAGCCGCGGUAAUACGUAGGGGGCAAGCGUUAUCCGGAUUUACUGGGUGUAAAGGGAGCGUAGACGGCUGUGCAAGUCUGAAGUGAAAGGCAUGGGCUCAACCUGUGGACUGCUUUGGAAACUGUGCAGCUAGAGUGUCGGAGAGGUAAGUGGAAUUCCUAGUGUAGCGGUGAAAUGCGUAGAUAUUAGGAGGAACACCAGUGGCGAAGGCGGCUUACUGGACGAUGACUGACGUUGAGGCUCGAAAGCGUGGGGAGCAAACAGGAUUAGAUACCUGGUAGU
rnacentral:rRNA from 1 species